AGCUCUUUCAAAAGCAUCUUUCGUUUUUUCCUACAACCUCCCUUCUCGCAUAUAGGUUUUCAGCCAGGAGAGGCUUUUCUUUUCUUUUCUUUUCUUUUCUUUUCAGGUGGAGUCUCACUCUGUCUCCCAGGCUGAAGUGCAGUGCCGUGAUCUCGGCUCACUGCAACCUCCACCUCCCAGGUUCAAGAGAUUCUCCUGCCUCAGCCUCCCUAGUAGCUGGCAUUACAGGCGUGCGCCACCACAACCAGCUAAUUUUUUUGUAUUUUUAGUAGAGAUGGGGUUUCCCCAUGUUGGCCAGGCUGGUCUUGAACUCCUGACUUCAAGUGAUCCACCCGCCUCAGCCUCCCAAAGUUCUGCAAUUACAGGUGUGAGCCACUGCGCCUGUCCCAGGAGAGGCAUCUUAUUCAGGAAAUAAUUUUGAAUUAUUUGGGAGAUGCUGAGAGUGUACAUCAGCCUGCAGGAUUGAAUUUCAGAUUAUGCCAUUUGGUCCUGUGAUUUCAGAUCCCGUCUUAGAGUUCUACCUUGUGCAUCCUCUAAUAACUCAAAGAAUCUGGGACACAUCCCAGGCGCUUGAUCAAUAGAUUUGGCUUUUGGAAAGAGUAUUCAGAGGCUAGUGGCUAAUGGAGAAUUGAGUUGCUCAGUAAUUCAUUUUAAGCCAAUAUGCUCUUUUGGCAAGCCCGUUCCAUUAGAGCAAGUAGAAGUUUCCAGCUCUAUUCUUUGCUGACCCAUUGAAUUUUUUAAAUUUAUUUUUUUGUUUUAUUUUUUGAGACGGUGUCUUGUUCUGUCACCCAGGCUGGAGUGCAGUGGUGCAAUCUCAGCUCUUUGCAACCUCCAUUUCCCGGGCUCAAACGAUUCUCCUGCCUCUGUCUCCUGAGUAACUGGGAUUACAGGCACGUUCCGCCACGCCCGGCUAAUUUUUUGUAUUUUUAGUAGAGAUAGGGUUUCACCAUGUUGGUCAGGCUGGUCUCGAACUCCUGACCUCAAAUGAUCCACCCGCUUUGGCCUCCCAAAGUGGUGGGAUUACAGGUGUGAGCCAACAUGUCCAGCCAGUUAACCCAUUGAAUUUACUGUCAUAUAGACAAAAAGUGCAAGGCACGACAGUAAGCUUCCAUGUUCUUCAGAAAUGCAGAAAGGGACAUGAAGCAAGGCAGAGAAUAGAAAUAUGUUUUGUUUUUUAUUUUUUUAAUAGAAAACUUAAAAGAGUUAAGGAAAAGAGAGGAAGACAAUGGAGAAAAUGGAGAAGGGAUCUUUGCCGAUGCCCCCCUUCUUCCUGGUCUGCCUUCCCCAUUCCUUCUCGUCCUUCAAGUCACACCUGUGCUGUGACCUCCAUAGCUCUCCGUGAUCUCUGGCAGAGUCCCAUGAAGGUCAAAACAGGCAAGACAAGCGUGAAACAAGAAGGGAAUCAUCUUUCCACAAGUCUGGAAAAUUCCACACAUGGAAUGGCAUUUGAAGAGUGGUUGUAGGAAGACCAAGACGGCCCUCUGCUAAAAGCGAAGCUGCUGGGAGGCAGGAGCAGGACACAUCGUGCCUUCCCUGGGGACAGGCCUUGUGCUGCUCCCCCACAACCUGAAGAUAGCUGCUCACAUCUGCUCCGUUCCUCCCCCACUGAGUGCACCAUCUGUCCCUUUGACAGGAGAAGAGAAGCCAGAGAGGAAGGCACAGAGGAACAGCCACAGACAGAACCCCACAAGGGACUGCAGGGAUAACCCCGCGUCUGAGGAAUAAACCCUGGGAAAAUGCCUCAUCCUAAGUUGGUCGAUGUUAAGCGAGGGAGAGGGAUAAAAACAAAAUCUUUCCUGUAAUUCUGAAGCUUGUCUCUAAAGUAAUCCCUUGUGCUGAGGUCCUGAGAGCUGGAAGGCAGGUAAUUAUAAAGACAAGGAGGCUUAAGGAAAAUCUGAAGAGAGAGAAGGGCAGAAUGAGAUUUUACCACCAUAAUACAUGGUGCAUUUAUCUAUUGAUGCAUCAGAAAUUCGGAAAGAGACAAGGCACAGUGGCUCAUGCCUGUAAUCCCAGCACUUUGGGAGGCUCAAGGGGAGGAUCCCUUGAGCCCAAGAGUUUGAGGCUGCAGCCAGCUAUGAUUGCACCAUUGUACUCCAGCCUGGACAACAGAAUGAGAUCCUGUCUCUAAAAAAAAAAGUAGAAAGAUGCAGGUUAGCUGAUGAGCAUCUGACAGGAACUGCAGCCAUUUAGGAGGAAAAAGAAAUCCAGUGUUCUAUGGUCGACCAAGAAGCAGCUACAUUUAUUCAUAAAAGUAAAUAUGCAAAUAGAUAUUGAGUUAUGGUAAGAGAACAGCCGGGCACAGUGGCUCAUUCCUGUAAUCCCAGCAUUUUGGGAGGCUGAGGCAGAAGGGUCACUUGAACCCAGGGGUUUGAGGCCAGCCUAAGCAACAUAAUGAGACCUAAUCUCU
rnacentral:lncRNA from 1 species